UCCCUGCGCGCAUCCCGCUUGUCCCGCCGUAGUUGCCUCUCUAUCUCGGCAUUGAUUCUCUUGGAUUCUUUCGCCUCCUCGCUCAGGCAGCACGCCAUGACAGAGUCGAGAGUCAUGAAGCCGGAGGAUCUGCAGUUCUUUCUUAAAUAGAUCUUGGAGAAAACUGAACCAGCGGGCAGCGGCACGAACGAAUGCAUGACCAAUGGUGGCGUCCCGGGUUUCGCCCCGGUGGUGGAAGUUUUCUUAGCAAAUGUCUUCAUAGAGGAAGAAGAAGACAGACAAAAACGGUUACCAUAUGAAACUUCUCUUCUGCUAUGAUGAGGGCUCGGAAUUGUGCGGUCACUUGAGAGUGAAGAAAAAUAUCUUAAUGUAGAAGGUUGUUGGAGUAUGGAUUGCUCUGUCACUGUCUGUUUGAAAUAUAUAUCAUCAUAUUUUUGAGCGAAAAUCUGUUUAUGCCUGAAGCAAAUAAAGAUAGUUUAAUAUGGUAAGAACAGAGAAGAGCAGGGAAUUUUUACAAAGAGACAGAUUUGAGACAUCAAGGUACAGUACAGUAACCACUAUAUUUGCAGUUAAGUAAAAUAAAAUAGAAUGGUUAACCCAUCCAAGUUGGUUGUGGUCUUUAUAUGCUGUGUUUGAUUAUUUAUCUGCGUAUAAAGUAAUUACUGUGUGCCUAUUUGUCCAGCACUGUG